rnacentral:tRNA from 1 species
CAAAGAAUAGUUUAAUUAAAAUUCUAGCUUUGGGAGUUAGUAAUGAGGGUUGAAGUCCCUUUUCUUUGA